rnacentral:rRNA from 1 species
AUUGAACGCUGGCGGCAGGCCUAACACAUGCAAGUCGAACGAGUGGCGGACGGGUGAGUAAUGUCUGGGAAACUGGCUGAUGGAGGGGGAUAACGACUGGAAACGGUAGCUAAUACCGCAUACCAUCGGAUGAGCCCAGAUGGGAUUAGGUUGUUGGUGGGGUAACGGCUCACCAAGGCGACGAUCCCUAGCUGGUCUGAGAGGAUGACCAGCCACACUGGAACUGAGACACGGCCCAGACUCCUACGGGAGGCAGCAGUGGGGAAUAUUGCGCAAUGGGCGCAAGCCUGAUGCAGCCAUGCCGCGUGUAUGAAGAAGGCCUUCGGGUUGUAAAGUACUUUCAGCGGGGAGGCGUUACUCGCAGAAGAAGCACCGGCUAACUCCGUGCCAGCAGCCGCGGUAAUAC